rnacentral:misc_RNA from 1 species
CCGGAGAAAACCUUUGCAUUCAAUUAGAUACCAAAAGGAAAAUUUAUUGGCCAACUAAAAAUCAAUCAGUUUCGGUUUCUGUUUCCUUUUCUCAUUGAAUCCGAAUCCAACUAAAAAUCAUCGAAUUUAUUUUUGUCUACUCAAGUGAAAAUGAUUUCACAACAACCGUAGUACCGCAUGCUCUGUUCUUCCAUGACCAAACAUGUCUUUCUUCUUCCUCUCUCUC